rnacentral:rRNA from 1 species
AUUGAACGCUGGCGGCAUGCCUUACACAUGCAAGUCGAACGGUAACAGGUCUUUCGGGAUGCUGACGAGUGGCGAACGGGUGAGUAAUACAUCGGAACGUGCCCAGUAAUGGGGGAUAGCUCGGCGAAAGCCGGAUUAAUACCGCAUACGCCCUGAGGGGGAAAGUGGGGGACCGCAAGGCCUCACGUUAUUGGAGCGGCCGAUGGCUGAUUAGCUAGUUGGUAGGGUAAAGGCCUACCAAGGCGACGAUCAGUAGCUGGUCUGAGAGGAUGAUCAGCCACACUGGGACUGAGACACGGCCCAGACGCCUACGGGAGGAAGCAGUGGGGAAUUUUGGACAAUGGGGGAAACCCUGAUCCAGCAAUGCCGCGUGUGCGAAGAAGGCCUUCGGGUUGUAAAGCACUUUUGUCAGGGAAGAAAUCCUUUGGGCUAAUACCCUAGGGGGAUGACGGUACCUGAAGAAUAAGCACCGGCUAACUACGUGCCAGCCGCCGCAGUAAAAC